CUCACCUGCUUCACCAAAACAUGGGCCAAGUUCCUGGUUGGGCUGUGUGCCUCAGGCUCACCUUGUCACCAAGGGCCUCCCUGUUGAUGCCUGAACUGCUGGCCAGACCUGGCUGCCGCUGCUGGACCUGCUCCCUCCUCCUGCUUGGGGAUGGUAGGGCUGGCCCUGCCAGUGAGGCUGUUUCCCGGUGGCCAUGCUAGCCAUCUUGGUCAUUGGCCUCUAUGGAGACAUCAACCUGGGCAGCUACUGACUGGAAGGGUGAAAUCAAGUGACCCAAAAGCAGUGGGAGUGUGUGUUAAAGAAGUGUUCAGUAAAGCCUGGGGCAGGUUACUGGAACUUCACAAAAUGUCUCCAGGUCUGUGCUUUGGAAAUGCUAAAACACUGAUUUCCAUGAGGGAGGGAAAAAAAACAACAACAACAAAAAAAAAAGCACUUCAAGCCAUUUUAUUUUGUCCUACUGUUAAGUUCAAAGAAUGGCUCUU